rnacentral:rRNA from 1 species
UACGUAGGUGGCAAGCGUUAUCCGGAAUUAUUGGGCGUAAAGCGCGCGCAGGCGGUCCUUUAAGUCUGAUGUGAAAGCCCACGGCUCAACCGUGGAGGGUCAUUGGAAACUGGGGGACUUGAGUACAGAAGAGAAGAGUGGAAUUCCACGUGUAGCGGUGAAAUGCGUAGAGAUGUGGAGGAACACCAGUGGCGAAGGCGACUCUUUGGUCUGUAACUGACGCUGAGGCGCGAAAGCGUGGGGAGCAAACGGG